rnacentral:sRNA from 1 species
CCUGGCUGCCAGACGUCCUUCUCUUCCCGGAUAAGAAGCAGAGGACCUUCCAGCCACCCCCGACUGGCCACAAGCGUUCCACGAGCGAAGGCGCCUGGCCACAGCCGCCCUCUGGCAUCUCCAUGAUGGGGUGCCUCCACAACUUCCUGACAGAUGGGGUCCUUGUGGAGGGUGCGUUCACUGAAGACUUCCAGGGCCUGUGGGCAGAGGUGGAGACCAUCUCCAAGGAACUGGAGCUCUUGGACAGAGAGCUGUGCCAGCUGCUGCUGAGGGGCCUGGAGGGGGUGCUGCGGGACCAGCUGGCCCUGCGAGCCUUGGAGGAGGCGGUGAGUGGGGGAGGGUGCCCGGGGCACACAAGGCCGGCCCAGCCAGCCAGGCUCAUCUGCCCUUCCCGUGCCCACAGCUGGAGCAGGGCCAGAGCCUUGGGCCGGUGGAGCCCCUGGACGGUCCAGCAGGUGCUGUCCUGGAGUGCCUGGUGUUCCCCUCCAGAAUGCUGGUGCCGGAACUCGCCAUCCCUGUUGUCUACCUGCUGGGGGCACUGACCAGUGAGUGGCCCC